ensembl:lncRNA
UUGAAAAUACAUGAUCCUUUAUUUUUUGUGGUUGUACAUAAUUAGACAUUUAUCUAUUUUAUGCCCAUAUAAAUUGUAUAAUUCUGUGUAGAAUAGCAGAAACAUGCUAGCCCUCAUGAAGCAUUGUUCAAGAACAACAGUUAACAUAGACUCAAUGGAUUACAUAAAACAAUCCUUCUGUUUUGAAAUCCAUGCGUUGUAGUAAAUAUGUGGAACGAAUGUCAUCGUCACGUGAGUUAUGCACUGCUCUGAUUCUAAAUUCAUCUCAUUAAUUUGGGUUCUUUAAGGCAUGAUCUAUCUGCUUCGCCUUCAGAAGACAUUCAGGAUGCUUUACUGGAAAUGUUAAGUUGCCACGACACAGAAUUGUGUACAAGAAAUGCUCAUUUGAAACACUCUUAAUGUAGCAUAAUCUUAACCUGACACCUUAUUUUAAGUUAUGGUGUGUAACUAUAUGCUGUGUGGACCGAGGAUGAUUUCACACAGACUGUCAAUACACAGGCCAAUGCACUGAUUCACAGAAGCUUAACAUAAGCAUACACAUACUCUAUCACUGCACUCAAGGCUGUUUGUUCCUCAUCAUGACAGGCUGAUAGAAACAGUAACGUGGGGCCUAUUUUUGUUUCUGAUUUUAAACAGGGACUGAACUUUUUAUGAUGGAUUAUUUAUUCUCAAUCUUCAAAGAUGCUUGUGAUGCUUCAAAUAUAACUUAGAGAUUGUUCACUCAAAGAUUAAAAUUAUGGCUUUCGUUCUUAUGCAAAACACAAAAGAAGAUAUGUUUGAACUGUUUUUGAAAGAAUAAUUUCUUAUUAUCAUUGAAAACAGUUGUGCUGCUUAAUAUUUUUGUGAAAACCGUGCUCAUUUUUUUCAGGAUUUUUUUUUUAAUGCAUUUAAAGUUCAAAAGAACAGCAUUUAUUUGAAAUGGAAAUCUUUUGUCACAUAAAAGUCUUUUGAUCAAUUUAAUGCAUCCCAAUUUAAAGUCAUUUAAAUUUUUGUAUUUAAGGGCAGUAUAAAAUACUACAGUUAUGUAUUAAUAUUUUAUACAUAUAAUUCUAAUUUUAUUUUUAAAAAAGAAAAUGCAUCUUAAUUUCAAGCAAAAACUUUUUAAUAAGCUAAAUAUCAUUUCUUAUUUCUUUAUUUAGAUUUUGACAUUUGCAUAGAUUUCACGUGAUCCAUGCAAUGAAAGUCGAAUCAAAUGAACAUUUUGAACCCCAUAUAUUAUUAUUUUUUACUUAAUGUUUUUCUUUUGUGUUCUGCAGAAAAAGGAAGCCAUUGGGGUUUGGAUCUUUCAGUUAUUUUUUUGGGUGAACCAAUACCUUUAAGACAUUGACAUCCCUACAACUUUUGCUCCCACUAUUUUCAGAGUUUGCAAAUCUAAUGAAAAUAAAUUAAUAUCUCUGACAGCUAGUAAAUCCUGACAGCAAUGAUGAUAAUCUGAUACGUUCUACUCUACAAUGAGAGAAACAUAUUAAGCUCAUUUAAGCAUUUAGACCAUGUGGUUGUUAAAUACAUUUGGUUCUUAAAGGCAUAGUUCACCCAAAAAUGAAAAUUCUGUUAUUAUUUACUCUCUCAUGCUGUUUUAACCCUAUAAGUGUGACUUUCUUGUGUAGAACACAAAUGGUGAAAUUUAGCAGAAUGUUCAAGCUGCUCAUUCCCUUACAGUCUUUGGUCCCCAUCCACUUGAUAUGAAAACAUCUGCUCGGACAUUCUGCUUAAUGUCUUCUUCUUAUUGAACAAAUAUGGGUCAGAUGGGUUUGGAAUGACAUGAGGGUGAGUAUAUGACAUCAUCUAAACUAUCCCUUUUAAGCUUCUCAAACUACAGUAGUUGAGCUAUUUGUGUCAGUGUGUUUGUGUUUUAGUCUACGUCAUGAGACGAGCACCAGAAGCCCGUCCAGCUUUUCUAACUGAUGACACAAGCAAGAGAGCACAAAAUGUGAUUCCAUUUCCUAAAUCUCUCCAACUGUGCAGCCUGCGAAAGCUCUCUCGAGUGUCACUAACAGGAGAAUUAUUCUCUUCAGUAAGUAGCAAAUGAGCUGCCUCUCUUAAAUUCAGACGUUUGCGCUCGUGCUUUGGAGAUUUCUCUUUGAAAGGACUUUAGAGGUAAAGAAUGGGAUAAGCUUGGAUUGCAGGAGGGGAAUACGUUGCUCAUUCUGAAAUCAUUUCAAUCCUGAUCGCAUGAAACUCUAUUAGUGUUGACUGCUGGGUUUCAUAUGCAGGGGAACAAUGUAAGCUGAUUUGUAUGAUUAUGGCUGUGUUCAGAAUAGCAUAAUACUAUAUUAAUAUUCAGUUUGCAUGGGUGCAUCUAAUCGAAAAUGUCCAGGUCAUAAUUCAACCAAAAAAUAAAAUAAAAGAUAUGAAAAGCCUAUUUUAGGACCAUUGAGAUAUUUUUCAUGACAAUUAAGAUUUUUUUCCCCUCUCAAAAUUCUGAUUUAAAAUGUAUUGUAUUGAUAACUUCCUGAAACUUUUUUUUAUUUUAAUUUUUUUAUAGGCAGUACAAAAAUCCUACCAUCAUGAACACUAUCAUUCAAAAGUUUGGGGCUGUUAAAGAGUUUGAAAAUGUUUUUGAAAGGAUUCUUUUGUAUUCAGCAAGGCUGCAUUUAUUUGAUUAAAAAUACAGUAAAAAUAGUAAAAUUUUACAAUAUUAUUACAAUUUAAAAUACCUGUUUUUUUUAUUAUAACAUAUUUUAAAAUGUAAUUUUUUCCUGUGUCAAAUGUCAAAGCUGAAUUUUCAGCAUCAUUACUCCAGUCUUCAGUAUCACAUAAUCCUUGUGAAAUCAUUCUAAUAUGCUGAUUUGCUGAUCAAGAAACAUUUAUUAUUAUUAUCAAUGUUGUGCUGCUUAAUAUUUUUGUGCAUACCAUUAGAUUUUUUUUUU